ensembl:lncRNA
GGGGUCAGAGGACUUGCAGGCGCUCAAACGCUACGCCUGGAGUUUAAAAGGGAAACUUCACCUCAAGGAACACGUGAAACCCCCAGACCACCAAGAGCUUCCGGCGUCAGUGCUUCCCCGGUGCAAGACUAGAGAUCAGAGUCUAUAAUUGAGUAGAGACUGGAUGUGAUUUGAGCUAUUGUAGUCUUCUAGAAGAGAUGCACGUGAAGCGCUCAUUAUAAUGAUGGACAGAGUCCUAGAAAGUUAAGAAUUCUAAGGUUAUUCAAGGCAGGAACAGUUUGGAAUUUUCUCCUUAAAUACACAAAGUAUCUGCUGCAUUUUCUAGGGUGAUGAUGAAUCGCUUUCAAAAAUACAUACUUUUGAAUUGAAAUGUCUCACACUUGAAGAAAGCCUAAAGGCAACUGAGUUUUAUUAAGUAUAUAAUUGUGUGUUGUGAGAGAAAUGCACGUGGCAUAUAGACCUGCUGGCUAUGUAUGGCAAUGUCACAUAUGUCUCAAGUUGGGGCCCAACCCUGAAACCUCAGAAAAAGAUCAACAAUAGAUGCCACAGUAAGCUGAUACCAGCUCUUCAAAGUAUAGGAUUGCUUGCUUUAUCAACUCCUUCAAAAACUCAUCUCAGAGUGACAGUAAAGAAAUGAAAUCAGACAAAAGCCACAAGAGAGAAGAGCUCAGAAGGAGGGCAGAAGCAGAUGCGAAGUUUCAAUAAAUGUGUGGACGGUCAAAAAACAAAGGAAGCAACAUAUGUUCAAAGUGAAGAAAGCAGUAGUUCAGGAUACAGGAAGUUUAGGGCUAAGCCUAAAGAACCCCAGACUCACCACAAGUUUAGGAAUAAGAAAGACACUGUGUGUGCCUUUAGGCUGUGCCCACUGAUAUGAGCGAGAACCCUCAAAUCUCAGUCUUAGCGUUUCAGGGUCACUCUUCAUGGACACUCCUGAUUGGGGGUUGGGACUCCUCUAAGCCCUGAGUCAAGGAUCCUGGCUGCUUCCAUCCUGGGCCUUGGCCAUCUUCAUAAUAUGGAUUCAACAUUAAACCAGACUCAGAACCGUCUAGGACACUCAGAACAAUUUGAUAAAAAUUUAUAUUCAAGAAACAUGAACAGGAUACUAUGAAAAAAGGAAGCCCCAGAGAAUGUGAAAGAGCAUUGGAAUUUAAAAGUAUGAUUGUUUAGGAUUUUUUUUAAGUGACAGUAAAAGAAAAAAGAGAAAGGAAAGCUCUUCUCUACUGAAAAGCUGUUAUUCUAAUAAAAGAAGAAAGGAUAAUAUUAGAAAAUUCCUAUUUUGUGACAUGUAAUGUAAUCAUUGAUUCAGGUCAAAGAUCAUCAGUGGAUGUUAGAAUCAUUUGUUGCCAGUUUUAUCAAGUAACCAAACAUUCAAACAGAACCAAUACAUCUUCCCACAGAUCAUUUAGUAAUUGAGAGGAGAAAAAUCCCCUACAGUGGAAAGGAUUGCAUUUACUUCCUUCAUAAAAUGACCAUACUUCACACCAUGAACAGGAAAACAGUCUGACAUUAUGGGUCUCCUGGUGUAAUUGAAUAUGAGGAACACAACCUCACCUAUGAAAUAUUAUUGCACAGAAAGUUCAGCUUUAAUCGGAACUCUAGUCCUGUGCUAUGCAAUAUGUUGGACACUGGACACAUGACUGUUGAGAACUUGAAUUGUGGCUAGUCCAAAUUAAGAUGUGCUAUAAGUGUCAAGUAUACACCAGAUUUGAUUUCAUAGAUAUAG